rnacentral:lncRNA from 1 species
UUGACCAAACCAAGACACCACCAUCUUCACAUUUUCAAAUCUCAAACAUAAGAAAUUCUUGCAAACAUGGAGGUUUAUGGAUGAAUCAAGACACUUGUGAGACUAGGAAAGCUAUUUGAAGCACUUUGGAGACACUAGAAGCUCUUAAAUCAUCAACAUUUUCACAUCUUCAUCUAUACUUUUCUAGCAAAAUUGAGAUUAGUGGACGACUUUGGAAAAAUAUGUUCGUGUUGUUAUCAAGAAUUCAAGCUUUUGAGAUGUUAUCCUUUUUCAGUUAUCUUGUUUUGUUUUAUUCCGAAAAAGAUAUUUGUGUUGUAAACUAUGGUUUCUAA